GCCGCCGUGGUGGAAUUGGCAGACACCCAGGACUUAAAAUCCUGUUCUGGCAACAGAGUACCGGUUCGAUUCCGGUCGGCGGCACCA
rnacentral:tRNA from 1 species